rnacentral:rRNA from 1 species
GGCAGCACGGGGGCAACCCUGGUGGCGAGUGGCGAACGGGUGAGUAAUACAUCGGAAUGUACCCAGUAGUGGGGGAUAGCUCGGCGAAAGCCGGAUUAAUACCGCAUACGCACUGAGGUGGAAAGCGGGGGACCGUAAGGCCUCGCGCUAUUGGAGCAGCCGAUGUCGGAUUAGCUAGUUGGUGAGGUAAAGGCUCACCAAGGCUACGAUCCGUAACUGGUCUGAGAGGACGACCAGUCACACUGGGACUGAGACACGGCCCAGACUCCUACGGGAGGCAGCAGUGGGGAAUUUUGGACAAUGGGGGCAACCCUGAUCCAGCAAUGCCGCGUGUGUGAAGAAGGCCUUCGGGUUGUAAAGCACUUUUGGCAGGGAAGAAACGGUCUGUGCUAAUACCAUGGGCUAAUGACGGUACCUGCAGAAUAAGCACCGGCUAACUACGUGCCAGCAGCCGCGGUAAUACGUAGGGUGCAAGCGUUAAUCGGAUUUACUGGGCGUAAAGCGUGCGC